ensembl:lncRNA
GGAGUUAGUUGGGAUGGACUUGGUGGGAAAACUAACUCCAUCUGAUGAUGGAAACAUGUAUAUGUGUGUCAUGGUUGACUACUAGACCAAAUGGGCAGAGGUCUAUGCCAUACCAAAUAAGAGUGCUGAGGUGGUCACCCAGUGCAUCAUAAACUUUUUUUACAGGUUUGGUGCACCACAACGCAUCCUCACAGAUCAGGGCAGUGAGUUUGUGAAUGAGCUCAACUCCAACAUUUGCACAUUUUUAAAUGUGAAGAGGAGUCUUUGUGCUCCAUAUCACCCACAGACGAAUGGUCUUGUGGAAAACCUGAAUGGGACAAUUCAGAGUUUGCUGAACACCUCCUGGAAGGGUCAGGCUCACUACAAUUCCCAACAUCAUACAUAGAUGACCUGAGGAGGGAAAUAGCCACCACCAUCAUGACUGGAUCUGAUGACUUGAGUGACUUGUGUCAUUUCUGUGGGGAGGAAGAGACCU